rnacentral:rRNA from 1 species
AGUGAACGCUGGCGGUAGGCCUAACCCAUGCAAGUCGAACGGCAGCACAGUAAGAGCUUGCUCUUACGGGUGGCGAGUGGCGGACGGGUGAGGAAUACAUCGGAAUCUACUUUUUCGUGGGGGAUAACGUAGGGAAACUUACGCUAAUACCGCAUACGACCUACGGGUGAAAGCAGGGGAUCUUCGGACCUUGCGCGAUUGAAUGAGCCGAUGUCGGAUUAGCUAGUUGGCGGGGUAAAGGCCCACCAAGGCGACGAUCCGUAGCUGGUCUGAGAGGAUGAUCAGCCACACUGGAACUGAGACACGGUCCAGUCUCCUACAGGAGGCAGCAGUGGGGAAUAUUGGACAAUGGGCGCAAGCCUGAUCUAGCCAUACCGCGUGGGUGAAGAAGGCCUUCGGGUUGUAAGGCCCUUGUGUUGGGAAAGAAAAGCAGCAGGUUAAUACCCCGCUGUUCUGACGGUACCCAAAGAAUAAGCACCGGCUAACUUCGUG